GGAUUAAAACCGAGACUAAUCAAGAAAUAAUAAAGGUGUAUCCGUGUAUGUUACUUGAGAGGUUAAUAAUAUUCUCAAUGGAUCACAAUCUUAUUCAAAAUAAUACAAAUUCAGUACAAGCAUCCACAUUGCAAUAGGUUUGGGUUUUUUCUCCGUUGAAGCUUCAGAGUAUUAUAUUAAUAGUUGUCAAAAGACGCCAAUAGAAGUAUGGUAAAAAUAACUGAGUAAUUGCCAGUUCUCUUCUUGAUUCAUUUUCAACCUUGUUUUCACCUUGCCUUAUAGGUGUUUGUAGUAUUUCCCCACUGAUAGUUACAUACUUACAUUACAAAAUGUUCGUCUGCAUUAGCUUCUCAUUCCUUAUGUCUUCAUCUAUCAAUUUGUCAUAAGCUGUGCUGACAACAUUAAAAGCAUACUAGUAUGAACAGCCAUCAACAUUCAUUUUAGCGAAAACGGGACAGAGGUGCUUUCUGAGGUCCACAAUCCUUCCCUGACCCUGUGUUUCAUCCACACCUUCAUGUCUUGCUGCAGUCAAAAGAUUCAAAGUUCCCAAGUGUUCUUCCGUCGCCAGCGCCACAAGUAAAAGGUGUAAGUAUGCCACAGUGCAAAGACCACACCAUUUGCAACACUAACAGGUCCAAUGGAAGAGCUGUUACUAGGAUUAGCAGUAGACCACAGAAUUUUCCCAUUACUUGCAUCCAUUGCCACCCAACCACCACUAGUUGUAGUUAUGUUUGAUGGUGCAAGAGUGAAAUUUUUGUCGUCAAAGUUCGCAAUGUUGGUGUAAACUCUCUUUUCGUCAGUCGCCGCACCCCAUAUUCCACCUCCUAUUGUUCCACCUGGGCCAGCUUCCUGCAAAAGGGGCAAAAGCAUCAAGAUGUUAUAUUUGUAUUGAUUAGUUAAUACUCUACACUAUAUGUAAAAGUAUUGAAAAUAUGCAUAAAUGUUCAGUAAGUUAUUCAA